GGGUACUUGGUGAAGUGGCAUCAUUUCUGGCUCCAAACCAGAAGUCGGGAGUUCGAUUCUCUCAGUGCCUG
rnacentral:tRNA from 1 species